GACGAACGCUGGCGGCGUGCUUAACACAUGCAAGUCGAACGAAAAGAGGGAAAGAGCUUGCUCUUUCCGGAAUUGAGUGGCAAACGGGUGAGUAACACGUAAACAACCUGCCUUCAGGAUGGGGACAACAGACGGAAACGACUGCUAAUACCGAAUAAGUUCCAAGAGCCGCAUGGCCCAUUGAAGAAAAGGUGGCCUCUACCUGUAAGCUAUCGCCUGAAGAGGGGUUUGCGUCUGAUUAGCUGGUUGGAGGGGUAACGGCCCACCAAGGCGACGAUCAGUAGCCGGUCUGAGAGGAUGAACGGCCACACUGGAACUGAGACACGGUCCAGACUCCUACGGGAGGCAGCAGUGGGGAAUCUUCCGCAAUGGGCGAAAGCCUGACGGAGCAACGCCGCGUGAGUGAUGACGGCCUUCGGGUUGUAAAACUCUGUGAUCCGGGACGAAAAGGCAGAGUGCGAAGAACAAACUGCAUUGACGGUACCGGAAAAGCAAGCCACGGCUAACUACGUG
rnacentral:rRNA from 1 species